rnacentral:rRNA from 3 species
ACAAUAGGCCGUCAGUGGGACAUCAUAGAGGGUGACAAUCCCGUCCUUGACGCUAAUGUGCAAGUCUAUUACGAUGGCUAUCUCAGAGAGUCGAGCAGUUUGGGAUUUGCUGCUUAAACAUGGGAGGUAGAUUCCUUCUAAAGCUAAAUACAGGCGAGAGACCGAUAGAGAACAAGUACCGCAAGGGAAAGAUGAAAUAGCACUCUGUGAAGGGAGUCAAAAGGCGUGAAAUUGUUGCGAGAGAAGCGAUUCAAGUCAGCGUAGCUAGGCCCAUCAAGCGUCUUCGCUUUGGACUAGCUUUGCCAGCGGUCUUGUCCCUUAAAGAGACUUGACUUGUAAUAUGUCCAGCCUGGCGUGCACAGGCAGCCCCUUCUGGGGGCCAGUGGCAUGGCUGGUGGAAUGGCUUGCAAUCGACCCGUCUUGAAACACGGACCAAGGAGUCUAACAUGUAUGCGAGUAUAAGGGUGGCAAACCCGUAUGCGCAAUGAAAGUGAUUUUCGGUGAUUGAGAAUGGCCUGAUGACCAGACAAGCAAUACAUGUCCCUCGUACGGCCAUUGCCCAAGUUCCGUGGUAGAUCCCACGAACAUGGAGUUGGAGCAUACAUGCUAGGACCCGAAAGAUGGUGAACUAUGCCUGGACAAAGCGAAGCCAAAGGAAACUCUGGUGGAGGCUUGUAGCGAUUCUGACGUGCAAAUCGAUCGUCUGAUCUGGGUAUA